rnacentral:rRNA from 1 species
AGAAUCAACGCUGGCGGCGCGCUUAACACAUGCAAGUCGAGCGAGAAAGGGGAGCAAUCCCUGAGUAAAGCGGCGUACGGGUGAGUAACACGUGGGUAAUCUACCUUUUAGUGUGGAAUAACCCUGGGAAACCGGGGCUAAUACCGCAUAAGCCUGAGAAGGGAAAGCAGCAAUGCGCUGAAAGAGGAGCCCGCGGCCGAUUAGCUAGUUGGUGGGGUAACGGCCCACCAAGGCGAUGAUCGGUAGCCGGCCUGAGAGGGCACACGGCCACACUGGCACUGAAACACGGGCCAGACUCCUACGGGAGGCAGCAGUGGGGAAUCUUGCACAAUGGAGGCAACUCUGAUGCAGCGACGCCGCGUGAGCGAUGAAGCCCCUCGGGGUGUAAAGCUCUUUCGGCAGGGACGAUAAUGACGGUACCUGAAGAAGAAGCUGCGGCUAACUACGCGCCAGCAGCCGCGGUAA